AAAUUCUUAGUAUAAUUUUAAGUAUAUUUAAUUGCAAAUUAAAUGGUUGAGAGUUUUAA
rnacentral:tRNA from 1 species